rnacentral:lncRNA from 1 species
CCGCCAGGCCUGGGCAUCUCCUCUCCUGCAGCGCCGCCUGCUGGCCACAGAGAACCCGCGUGCGCCGGCCGCCAGGCCUGGGCAUCUCCUCUCCUGCAGCGCCGCCUGCUGGCCACAGAGAACCCGCGUGCGCCGGCCGCCAGGCCUGGGCAUCUCCUCUCCUGCAGCGCCGCCUGCUGGCCACAGAGAACCCGCGUGCGCCGGCCGCCAGGCCUGGGCAUCUCCUCUCCUGCAGCGCCGCCUGCUGGCCACAGAGAACCCGCGUGCGCCGGCCGCCAGGCCUGGGCAUCUCCUCUCCUGCAGCGCCGCCUGCUGGCCACAGAGAACCCGCGUGCGCCGGCCGCCAGGCCUGGGCAUCUCCUCUCCUGCAGCGCCGCCUGCUGGCCACAGAGAACCCGCGUGCGCCGGCCGCCUGGCCUGGGCAUCUCCUCUCCUGCAGCGCCGCCUGCUGGCCACAGAGAACCCGCGUGCGCCGGCCGCCAGGCCUGGGCAUCUCCCCGGGCCCUAGUUCCCCCCCUCACCUAAGGGGAGGGACUCCCGUCUUUCCAUCCACCCCCUCCUUGCCUCUGCAGAGCUCCAGGGAAGGCUGGCACCCGCUCACUGCAUUUAGACUCCAUCAGGUUCAGACAGUGGGUCAGGGUACAAGGCUUCAGCGGCCAGGGAUGUGGCCUCUAAUUUGUAGAGAGAAAGAAGGGCAGAGGCAAAGGUUUGGGCCCAGGGACUGGGCUCCGUUUCCAGAAUCACUCUUGGAGCUGCUCUGCUGCCCCCUGCCCCAUACACGUGAUGGAGCAGAAAACGUGCUGUGUGAACCUGUGACUUCAGGGCCUGUUGACGUGGUCGUGCUUGCAUACUCUCUGAGGAAAUCCCGCACCUGGCGGCACUUGGAGACCGGCUCCUCGCCGAGCCGACCGCGCGUGCGCGGCUCCCUCCUCGUCCGUGCUGAGCGCCGCGUGGGGUUCCGCGUGGAGGCGCCUGUGCCGCUGAAGCGUGUUUGGGUUGCUUCCAGGGUGGGAUGGUUGUUGGAUAGAGCUGUUUGUGCAUUUGCGUUGUAGGUUUUUGUGUGAACAUAAGCUUUUGUUUCUCUCGGGUACAUACCCAGAAGUGCAAUUGCUGAGUCAUGUGGGAAGCGUGUGCCCAACUUUACAGGAAAACACCGCAGGCCGCCCCUUCGCUUUGCGCUCCCGCUAAUCGGGAAUGAGUGCCUGCUGCUCCGCGUUCUUGCGGGCACCCAGCAUUUUCCGUGCUUACAUUUCAGCCAUCCCGGAAUGAAUGAAAAGCGUUUCCUAGUGGCUGUAAUUUGCAUCUCCCUGGUGGCUGAUGGAAGCUUAUUUCCCAUCCAUAUCCCUUGCUUGGUGACGCAUCUGUUCAAAUCCUUCCCCGGUUUGUAACUGGAUUAUUUGGUGUUUUUACUGUUGGAUUUUGAGAGUUCUUUAUGUAUUCUAGAUACAAUUCCUUUGCCAGAUAUGAGAUUCACAAAUAUUUUCUCCAACUCUAUGUCUUGUGUUUUCAUUCUCUCAACAGUGACUUUUGCAGCAUUCAUAGG